rnacentral:ncRNA from 13 species
CUAUAGCUCAGUUGGCAGAGCGGUACUUUAGUAAGGUACAGGCCGGGAGUUCGAACCUCUCUGG